rnacentral:lncRNA from 1 species
GCAGCGGGUGCUGGGCGACAGCAGCCCCCGUGUGCUCCUCACCACUGCCCUCGGUGCGCCUGGAACAGCUCCUGGGAGCCGGGACACCUGGAACUUCCCUGCAGGAACCACUCAACAACUGGCACACGGACACUUGAGCUUGCCCCUCAUCGGCUGCCGCACACGCGUGCAGGAGCCUCGCUGGGGAGCAACAGAGCCGUGGUUUGCUCCUGACGCUGUGACCGGUGAGGGGCAGGACAGCCAGCACUGCAUGAGAGCCCGACUAAAACACAGUAAUUAAAACCCAACCAAACCCCAUCGCUGUUCGUCCUUCCUGUGCCUGCCCUCGGGUGUGACUCACACCCUGCCCAUGAGGACGCGCUGCCCCUGCCCCACGCAGAGCUUCCCCCAUUCCCACAGGCGCUGCCCCGGGACCCGACAGCCCUUCGUGCUGCACCUCGGUGUGCUCAGUGCUGGCAGGGGAACACGGGCCUGUGCUCCUGCCCUGGGCAUGGGGAGGGGGCUUCAAACCUGCCCUGAACUACGAGAUUUGGGAUUCAAAUUUAACCUGACCUUGGGUUUGCAUUUAACACCCAUAAACUGCUCCUGAAAACCAAACCCGGGCUCCUGCCCCCUUCUAUCAGAGAGGAGACACUUGUGAUGGCCUCUGGGGUCGUUCCUGUUUGCAUCAGCCGGUGUGAGGCCUGUGGGGCUGGUUGUGAUGCUGCUACAGGAGCCACGUGUCAGUGAAUGUAGGUGCAGCCCAUCUCACGGGGGGCACAGUCACCUUCUUCUCUUUUCAAAUGUGAUGUAAAAUAUGUACAGUAAUUUUUUUUUUUAUAUUUUCUAUCGAGUGUCUUCCAGAAUUGCUCUUAAAUUAAUUAAAACUCGUUGGUAUUAACAACAGGAUCUGUAUUAGUUUAUGCAACCGGUAAAAACAGGAACAAAGAGUGCACUCUGCUGCUGAAGUUCUGGAUGUGUAGGAACCUUUCAGUGAAUAAAUCUUUGCUCUGGAUAAAGCAAGUGGUAC